rfam:Thiorhodococcus drewsii AZ1 ctg206, whole genome shotgun sequence.
CAAGUUCCGCCGAUGGAGUUGCUCGUACACCAUUGUAGUGCCCCGGAGCGGCGUUUGGGUAACCAAGGGUCGUGAGUUUCGUGGGUGCAAAACCGCAGGCCGCAGCGCAAGCGAACCGAGAUGUAGCCUCGUCACUCAAUCGAAGAAGCCGACCCUGUGGUCAGAAGGGGAAGGCCGCCGCCGGUGGGAAGAGACAACGAGAGCGUCCCGCCGAUUCUUCCGGGGUAGCAGGGGU